GAAAAGUUUUAUUCUUGCUUUAAUUAUUUACUGUUAUGUUGUUAUAUAUGUAAGUUUUUGCAUGUAGUAUAUUAAUAUAUUAUCUUGAUGGUAUUAUAUGUGGGGUGAAUUAUUCGCAGUAUAAAGUAUUAUGAAUUUAAGAAAUUUUGAUUUAGUAAUUAUUAUUUAGUAUUGAUAAAAUAUGUGCCAGCAGUCGCGGUUAUACAUGGAAUAUAAGUAAAUAUGGUUGGUUAAAAUAGUUGGUUUGGUUUAUUGAACGUAGUUUGAUUAUUAUUGGGUGAAAUGAUUAAUAGUUGUAUUGUGUUUUUGGGACUAAGUGAAAGAAAACGAGGCUAUGAAAUUUAAAGUAUUUAAACUAGGAUUAGAUACCCUAUUAUUUUUUAUGUAAAUUAUUAAAAACUUAAGUAGUAUUAGUUAUGGUCUUGAAACUUAAAGAAUUUGGCGGUAUUUUAGUCUAUUUAGAGGAAUCUGUCCCGUAAUCGAUAAUCCGCGUUGGACCUUACUUAAUUUAUUGAUAUGUAUAUCUCCGUUAAUUUGAAGAUCUUUUAAGAGUUUAAAUCUUUUUAAUAUUCAUUAAAUAAUUAUUCAGGUCAAGGUGCAGUUUAUAUUUAAGUGGUGAUGGAUUACAAUAUUUUAAAUAUAUACGGAUUAUUAAUUGAAAUAUUAAUAUGAAGGUGGAUUUAAUAGUAAUGUUGUGAAGAUUGUCAAUGUGAUUAUAGCUCUAUAAUAUGUACACAUCGCCCGUCGCUCUCGUUAUAUUUAAGGUGAGAUAAGUCGUAACAUAGUAGCUGUACCGGAAGGUGUAGCUAGAAAUGU
rnacentral:ncRNA from 1 species